AAAAUAUUUCAAUAAGGUAAUAUGGAAAUGAAAGAGCAAGUUGCUGCUAGUUGCUAAUAAAAGGCAUUAAAAACUUGAAAAGUUUUCCUAAUUGUCUCCCAAUAAUUACACCAAGGUGGGAUGAAGUCUUCCACACUUGAAGCUUUUAGAGAGAUACUUCAGUAUUCAUUUUUGUAUACUGUUGAAGAAUGCUUCUGAUUUCUGAGCUAUUUCCUGUUCUUUCCUGCAUUUUUGUCCACUAUGAAAUAAGCUGCUUUAUUCUACUAUAGGCUUCUUGCCUGAGGUUCAGAGGAAAUGCUAAGUGAUCAUGUGUUGGAAUCCUUGAAUGUGUGCCAAAAUAAUUUUUUUCUGCUUUACUUGCUUAAACUACGUGUUUCUUCACAGUUUUAUAUUGACAACACACACGGAAAAUAAUGUUAUGGAAGAGUGAAUUGACACAGGAAAUGCAGGGACCAAGAAUGGAUCAGAGACUGAAGGCAAGACCAUCCAGAGACCAUCCCACCUAUGGAUCCAUCCCAUCUGAAGACACCAAAUCCAGACACUAUUGCUGAUGCCAAGAAGUGCUUGUUGACAGAAACCUGGUAUAGCUAUUCUCUGAGAAGCGUUGGGAGGCCCUUACAAAUACAGAUACAGAUACAGUGAAUCAUUGGACUUAGCACCUGGACCACAAUGGAAGAAUUAGGGGAUGGACUAUAGGAGCUGAAGUGGUUUGCAACCCCAUAGGAAGAAAAACAAUAUCACCAACCAGAUCCCCCAAAGCUCCCAGUGACUAAACCACCUACCAAAGAGUACACAUGGAGGUUACCCAUGGCUCCAUCUACAUACAUAGCAGAGGAUUGCCUUAACUGGCAUCCGUGGGACAGCCCUUGGUCCUGUGGAGAUUCAAAACUCCAGUGUAAGGGAACGCUAGAGAGGUGAGGCAGAAUGGGUGAGUGGGGAACAGCCUCAUAGAGGCAAAGGAGAGGG
rnacentral:lncRNA from 1 species